rnacentral:rRNA from 1 species
UACGGAGGGUGCAAGCGUUAUCCGGAUUCACUGGGUUUAAAGGGUGCGUAGGCGGCGCGGUAAGUCGGGUGUGAAAUCUCGGAGCUUAACUCCGAAACUGCAUUCGAUACUGCCGUGCUUGAGGACUGGAGAGGAGACUGGAAUUUACGGUGUAGCAGUGAAAUGCGUAGAGAUCGUAAGGAAGACCAGUGGCGAAGGCGGGUCUCUGGACAGUUCCUGACACUGAGGCACGAAGGCCAGGGGAGGCAAACGGG